GACGAACCGUGCGAGCGUUGUUCGGAAUCACUGGGCAUAAAGGGCGCGUAGGCGGGCUACCAAGUCUGUGGUGAAAUCCCCCGGCUCAACCGGGGAACUGCCUCGGAUACUGGGAGUCUCGAGGGUGGCAGGGGUAUGCGGAACUAUCGGUGGAGCGGUGAAAUGCGUUGAUAUCGAUAGGAACUCCGGUGGCGAAGGCGGCAUACUGGUCCACUUCUGACGCUGAGGCGCGAAAGCCAGGGGAGCAAACGGG
rnacentral:rRNA from 1 species